rnacentral:rRNA from 1 species
GGCAGCAGCCGCCUCCGUCUACCUGAUCUCGUCUGAUCUUGGAAGCUAAGCAGGGUCGGGCCUGGUUAGUACUUGGAUGGGAGACCGCCUGGGAAUACCAGGUGCUGUAGGCU